CCUCUCCCUCUGAGCAUGAGCCCGUUUCCACGAUUGCUAGCUCCCGUAAGGGUAGUCUAAAGUGAAAGCAACUCAAACCCUUUUUGAGUCACCGAGGAUAUUCACCACUCAACACUUGAACUCUUGAAGACCACGAUCGCUUGGGUGCCCUCCCUGACUGAUCUUACACGAGGUGUUGGAUUCAUUGAAGAACCCCCCAUAUGAAGUGGGAAUGUGGGAUGGUCCCUGCCUUUCAUCUCGACAGAUGCUGCUCUGGUGAGUACGUCGGCAUCUAUGAAGGUAUUGCGCUCAACCCUUCUGAGUCG
rnacentral:lncRNA from 1 species